rnacentral:rRNA from 1 species
UCUGCGGAGAGUUUGAUCCUGGCUCAGGAUGAACGUUAGCGGUGUGCCUAAUACAUGCAAGUCGAACGAGGAACCAGAUACUUGUAUCCGGAUCUCCUAGUGGCGAACGGGUGAGUAACGCGUUGGUGACCUGCCCCGAAGAGAGGGACAACAGUCCGAAAGGGCUGCUAAUACCUCAUGUGGUCACGAGAGUUAGAGGUCUCGUGUCUAAAUGGAUUUAUUCGCUUCGGGAGGGACCUGCGUCCCAUCAGCUAGUUGGUAGGGUAAUGGCCUACCAAGGCUACGACGGGUAGGGGGCCUGAGAGGGUGGCCCCCCACAAUGGUACUGAAACACGGACCAUACACCUACGGGUGGCAGCAGUAGGGAAUAUUGCACAAUGGGCGAAAGCCUGAUGCAGCAACACCGCGUGCGCGAUGAAGGCCCUCGGGUCGUAAAGCGCUUUUGUGAGGGAAGAGAAAGGACUGUACCUCACGAAUAAGGAUCGGCUAACUACGUGCCAGCAGCCGCGGUAACACGUAGGAUUCGAACGUUAUCCGGAUUUACUGGGCGUAAAGCGCGUGCAGGCGGUUUGGCAAGUUGGAUGUGAAAGCUCCGGGCUUAACCCGGAGAUGUCGUUCAAAACUGCCAAACUAGAGGACGAUAGAGGAAGGUGGAAUUCCGGGUGUAGUGGUGAAAUGCGUAGAUAUCCGGAGGAACACCAGUGGCGAAGGCGGCCUUCUGGGUCGUACCUGACGCUCAGACGCGAAAGCUAGGGUAGCGAACGGGAUUAGAAACCCCGGUAGUCCUAGCCGUAAACGAUGUAGACUUGGUGUCGGUGGUGUAAAAGUCAUCGGUGCCGUAGCUAACGCGAUAAGUCUACCGCCUGGGGACUACGACCGCAAGGUUAAAACUCAAAGGAAUUGACGGGGCCCCGCACAAGCAGCGGAGCGUGUGGUUUAAUUCGAUGUUACGCGAAGAACCUUACCUGGGUUUGACAUAUAGAUGGUAGUGAACUGAAAAGGGAACGACCCUUCGGGGAGUCUAUACAGGUGCUGCAUGGCUGUCGUCAGCUCGUGCCGUGAGGUGUCCGGUUAAGUCCGGUAACGAGCGCAACCCUCGCUGUAUGUUAUACGUGUCAUACGGGACUGCCGGUAUAAAGCCGGAGGAAGGUGGGGACGACGUCAAGUCAGCAUGGCCUUUAUAUCCAGGGCUACACACACGCUACAAUGGUCGGUACAACAGGUUGCAAAACCGCGAGGUGGAGCCAAUCCUCAAAGCCGGCCUCAGUUCGGAUUGUAGGCUGCAACUCGCCUACAUGAAGCUGGAGUUGCUAGUAAACGCGCGUCAGCACAGUGCGUUGAAUACGUUCUCGGGGCUUGUACACACCGCCCGUCACGUCAUGGAAGCUGGAAACGCUCAAAGUCGGUAUCCUAACCCUUACGGGAGGGAGCUGCCUAAGGUGGGGCUGGUAACUGGGACGAAGUCGUAACAAGGUAGGUGUAGCGGAAGCUGCGCCUGGAUCACCUCCUUU